GCUGGCGUAGCUCAACUGGCAGAGCAGCUGCCUUGUAAGCAGCAGGUCAUGGGUUCGAAUCCCAUCGCCAGCU
rnacentral:tRNA from 2 species